UUAAAAAUGCUUCAUGGGCUGGGCAUGAUUACACACCUGUAAUCCCAGCACUUUGGGAGGCCGAGGUGGGCAGAUCAUGAAGUCAGGAGAUCAAG